UACGUAGGGUGCGAGCGUUGUCCGGAAUUAUUGGGCGUAAAGAGCUUGUAGGCGGUUUGUCGCGUCUGCUGUGAAAAUCCGGGGCUCAACCCCGGACUUGCAGUGGGUACGGGCAGACUGGAGUGUGGUAGGGGAGACUGGAAUUCCUGGUGUAGCGGUGAAAUGCGCAGAUAUCAGGAGGAACACCGGUGGCGAAGGCGGCAUCCUGGACCAUAACUGACACUGAUAAGCGAAAGCCAGGGGAGCAAACGGG
rnacentral:rRNA from 1 species